UUAAAAAGAUAACUAAAAAUAAGCUUCUAACUUAAUAAAUAAGCAUUUAAUUGUUUUUAUCUUUAU
rnacentral:tRNA from 1 species